rnacentral:rRNA from 1 species
GACGAACGCUGGCGGCGUGCCUAAUACAUGCAAGUCGAGCGGAUCUUCAUUAGCUUGCUUUUGAAGAUCAGCGGCGGACGGGUGAGUAACACGUGGGAAACCUGCCUGUAAGACUGGGAUAACUUCGGGAAACCGGAGCUAAUACCGGAUAAUCCUUUUCCUCUCAUGGGGAAAAGCUGAAAGACGGUUUCGGCUGUCACUUACAGAUGGGCCCGCGGCGCAUUAGCUAGUUGGUGGGGUAACGGAUCACCAAGGCGACGAUGCGUAGCCGACCUGAGAGGGUGAUCGGCCACACUGGGACUGAGACACGGACCAGACUCCUACGGGAGGCAGCAGUAGGGAAUCUUCCGCAAUGGACGAAAGUCUGACGGAGCAACGCCGCGUGAGCGAUGAAGGCCUUCGGGUCGUAAAGCUCUGUUGUCAGGGAAGAACAAGUACCGGAGUAACUGCCGGUACCUUGACGGUACCUGACCAGAAAGCCACGGCUAACUACGUGCCAGCCGCCGCAGUAAAAC